AUCAUUAGAGGAUGAUUUUAAAGUUGUUGUAGGGAUCAGUCCAAUCAUCUGGUUCAUUGCUGUCUUGUUCUUGCUUGCCUAUACACAUGGAUGGUAUUCAUAUUUAUGGCUACCUUUUAUCCCCUUAAUUCUGUGGAUUUCUUCAAUCAGGUGAAUCUGCUCUAUGGUACCCUCACUAAGUUUUGUACUCCUGAGAAUUGCCCUACAAUGACUGUAGGACCUAAGUAAGAGAUAUAAACUAGAUUCCUUUUGCCCUUUUCAAUAAAUUAGGCGUACAAUUCCUAAAUAUUAUUGUUUUCCCUCGUGACCUCUGUCGUGUUUGGAUCCAUUGAUGGUAUUGAAACCUUUUCUCUCAAACAAUGCAUGUGUUCAGUCUCUAAGGAUCUAGAUAAAUCGAAACUCCCUCAACUUGAAUUUAGGCUCUUUAUCUCUUUGAGCUAGAUGAUACUGUAUUAAUUUAUUUUUGUUAAAGUUAUAUAUAUCUGCCUUUUUUUUUUGAAUUUUGAUGUCAAAAUAUAUCAUAUAAUCUUGGCUGAUUAGUGGGAUAAGAGUUUGACUUUAUAUCAUGUUUUCUUUGAUUUGAUAGUCCUAGGUUAUGAUGAGAUGAUGUUUAUUAUUUUUAUUAUUAUUAUGAUUUGCCUUUGUCUUUUGUAAUAAUUUGAUUUUUGCCAUAUUUUAAAUGUCAGUAGAAAGACAUCAAAUAUGUUAAAGCUAAAGCUAUUAUAUUAUUGAUAUUUAAAUAUCUUUUGCUUUAAUUAUGAAAUUUUCAAACUUAGUAAAUAUGAGAUUCGUAUUGAUAGCUUAGAAUAUUUGUCUUGUAAAGAAGAGUUUAUGUAUUUGUAUUCAUAUUUAAAUAUUUUUCUUGUAAAGCAGUGCUUCGUGUGACAACAAACAUCGCUCGGGAAGGUCUCGUUAUUGGUUCCUAAUGUUUUUGCACUUGCAAAGCUUAUGAAUGUCAGUGAAGAUGAGUGUCAACUUUCUGCUAUAGCUUGGCAAGGUUCAGGUAGUGCUUGUCGGAGUUUGUUUGGUGGAUUCGUUAAGUGGAUUAUGGGAAAAGAGGAUGAUGGAAGUGAUAGUCUUGCAGUUCAACUAGUAGAUGAAAAACACUAGGAAGAUCUCUUCAUCAUUAUUGCUGUGGAGAGGUGCAGAGGGAUAGAGCUGCAGAGCUUUUGGGUUUGGGUGCAUGCAAUUUUCGCCACGACACUCAAUCAAACUUGGAAAUGAGUUUGGUGUUCACAAACUAUGACCCUGGGGAGAGAUUAGGAGGAUGGGAGCAAGAACAAUAGGUGCCUUUUUCUUGCCAUCGUUUGCUAGGAAUAUUUUCUCAUGGAUGAGCUUCAUGCAACCUAAUUUUAUCCAUUAUCAAGGCAUUUCCAACACUUACCCUUGGAAAAAUUAACCAGCCUUUCUGCUAAUUUUCCCAGAGAAAACAUGAAAACAUGUAGAUGAGAAAACUUCCAAGCAAGUUCAUCCUCAUAUUAUGCAUUUUGGUCUACUUUUUUAAACUAGUGCAAUUUUCCUCACUUGUGUAGAUUUCGUAAUACAUAAAACUAUUUAAGGUUGUUUAAAGUUGUACUGACUCAUGCCUACUCAUUGACAUUUUGAAAUGUAAUUAGGAAGUUGUUCCAAAACGCACAAUACAGAUGGAAGAAGCCAUACAAGUUUCUCAUAUGUAUUAUUUAUUUUAGUUUUGAUUCUAAUUUGUUAUUUUUACUUUAAUAUUUACGACAACUUGAGUUUUAACUUUUGUA